rnacentral:tRNA from 4 species
AUCUAAAUAGUUUAAGUAAAAUAUUGGUUUGUGGUGCCAGUGAUAUAAUGUGUUUAUUUUGGAUU